GUACGCUGGCGGCACGCCUAACACAUGCAAGUCGAACGAAGUAGCAAUACUUAGUGGCAGACGGGUGAGUAACAUGUAGGUAUCUACCCUUUGGCCUGGAAUAACACGAGGAAACUUGUGCUAAUACCGGAUAAGUCUUUACGGAGAAAGCUUUAUGCACCAUUGGAUGAGCCUGCACUUGAUUAGUUUGUUGGUAGGGUAACGGCCUACCAAGACUUUGAUCAAUAGCUGAUUUGAGAGGAUGAUCAGCCACAUUGGGACUGAGACACGGCCCAAACUCCUACGGGAGGCAGCAGUGGGGAAUCUUGCACAAUGGAGGAAACUCUGAUGCAGCGAUGCCGCGUGAGUGAAGAAGGCCUUUGGGUUGUAAAGCUCUUUCGUCGGGGAAGAAAAUGACUGUACCCGAAUAAGAAGGUCCGGC
rnacentral:rRNA from 1 species